rnacentral:rRNA from 1 species
GUUUACGGCCAUACCAGCCUGGGUACGCCCGAUCUCGUCUGAUCUCGGAAGCUAAGCAGGGUCGGGCCCUGGUUAGUACUUGGAUGGGAGACCGCCUGGGAAUACCAGGUGCUGUAAGCU